AUUCUUUUCUUACAUUUUGAAGCUGUUGUGUCCUCAUGAGGAUUACUGGUCAUAUCAUCUGGCUGUUACCAUUUGAACUGCUUAUAAACUCUGGGCCAAAUCCUUUCUUGGUUACGUGCAUGCCAAAUAUCUUUUCCAAGUCAAAGGUACAGCUAGACAUCAGUCAGCCUUUAUUCCUUUAGUUCUAGAAAUGGACAAAAUUUUUAAAUUACACAGAAAACCAUAUUGCUGGAAAUCGAAGGACCCAAUCUAUUAUUUGAUAGCCGAACAAUGUGACUUCACGGGGGCUACCUCUCAACCCUUACAAGUACCAAGUAUCUUUUCACACGCCUUCUUCCUCCUCUUCUAAACAUACUGAGGUACGAGCGUAUUUCUGAGAAGGCCAUUGCUUAUGAAACGUUCUCGGGUUUACUCCAGGCCACGUAACAAUAAAACGCCGCCAUGUCCCCCAGCGCGUCUCUGAAGUGACGUGCAUGCAGGAAAGCCACAUCGCCAAGCGCUAGCUUGGGGUCUUCUCUGAACCCGGGAGAGACGUUGAUGAGUGGGUUGGUCCGCACUUUGACUGGAAGGCGAAAAGAAAAGCGAAUGCAAAGUGCUUCUUGUCUUCUGAAACCACUAGCUGUCACCUUCACAUCUUUCUGUUCUGUACUUUAAAAAGAGAAAAACCCCAAAUCAUUAGAAAACGCUGUGGUUACACAUGCUCUCGGCCAUCGGCAGGCAUCUGUCAGCCUUGGGCAAGAAAACUGAAGAUAACCAGUGGCCUUGCUGACCCUCAGCCCCUCCGUCCUUACGAUGACUGCGUAGGACUGCGUAGGACUGCGUAGGACUGCGUAGGACAAGGACUGUGGCCUUGUCAUUUUGCCUGUCUCCGAGGGCAUGCCAGGAAAAGCAUGUCACACAUUUGGAACUCAGACCUUUAAGAACCUUUUCAGAGAUUGGAGACUGGGAGGAGAAAGUUCUGGAAUGUUCUAUUCUAUUCCUUCGUCUCACCUACCCCUCCCAGGGCAGGAAGCUGGGGGCAGGGACCGGCAUGGAGACAGGACAUUUGAAUUCCCUGUUAAACAUUUACCAAGCAGCAUGGAAGCUGUGCCUAUGAAAGAUGGUUCCCAAGAAACUCAGAGGGAGAACACAGCUUCUCAGCGUGGACCUCGCUGUCUCUUGAUUCUUCGAGAUUUCUCUCUGAAAGUCUAAGGCUGGAAGGCUAUGGCCUCAGGGGAUUGAGGGCAGCUCUCCAGGGAGGGGAGGAACUAGUGAGGAGCCCACUGGGGAAAGGCAGAGAUUGGAUAAGGAGAAAAGAGAAAUGAGAGGAGGGCUUGCCCUUCAAGGAAAGAGCUUCCUGAAGGGGCCAGAGGACACAUUUUUAGGAUGGCCUUCAGGCACCUAUCAAAUGCUGAGCACAUCACAAAUUUGCAAAAGAUGGCUUGAGACUGACUAGAAUUCGCUCAUCUGGUGACCAGUGCUGGUUGAUGGGGUAGUGAAACCCCGGCUCCAUACCCUGUGCCCCCAUCUGCCUCUCCAGUCUCUCACCCUCGGGGCUGACAGACCUGGUCAAUGAGGAAGCCCUACAGAAGGGGAAGACGGGGUUCCCCUUUGCCCCAAGGGCGCCUUCUGAACCUCCUUUCCAGAGAAGGAAAGAAUACACUUGAACGAAAUCGGCCAACAAAUCGACCACUCUCUACCAUUGAGAGUCCGGGUUUGGGGUAACAUCUUCUGAGCCUGAGCCCCCAAAGCAGCCCCACGUGGAGAGCUCUCAGGAGUCUGGCCCCAAGGUCACUCCUACAGUCCUUCCCUCAGGCCGAAAGGACCUUUGCGCUCACCCUCCACGACCCAUGCUCCCAGCAUCGGCACCUGCGCCCUCCCCACUGGGGGGAGCUGGGAGCUGCUGGUGUGAGAGCCACAGUGAGGCUGAGAGGGAAGCCCAAUGUGUGGCUAUGUAAAUUAUAUGUUUUAAUAAAAUUCCCCCAUUAGGUUUUUCCCUUUGGGCUACUUCUUAGUCACCCUGUACUUUCCAGCUGCGUGCAUUUGUUCACUUAAUGAACAAAAUAAACAGAAAUAACUCGUA